GGCUGGUCUGAAGGUAGUGAGUUAUCUCAAUUGAUUGUUCACGUCAGUUAUAGAUCAAACUCCUGUUCUUCUCUUUUUCCCCCUUCUCACUAUUGCACUUGACUAGACAAAA
rnacentral:Y_RNA from 1 species